rnacentral:rRNA from 1 species
UACGGGGGGGGCAAGCGUUGUUCGGAAUUACUGGGCGUAAAGGGCUCGUAGGUGGCCAACUAAGUCGGACGUGAAAUCCCUCGGCUUAACCGGGGAACUGCGUCCGAUACUGGUUGGCUUGAGUUUGGGAGAGGGAUGCGGAAUUCCAGGUGUAGCGGUGGAAUGCGUAGAGAUCCGGAGGAACACCAGCGGCGAAGGCGGCAUCCUGGACUGGUCCUGACACUCAGGAGCGAAAGCGUGGGGAGCGAUCCGG